rnacentral:rRNA from 1 species
AUGCCUCCCAUAUUGCCAUGUCAGCCUCUAACCUUUUCACCCUUCCUAGCAAACCGUUGUUUGGCUAUGUUACCGCUUUGCUCAGCCGCUCUUAUAGCGUUGUUAGUUGCAGGUGAAGUUGAAGAUUGCUCAAUGAUGGACAAGAUUAUGUUGGGAUAUCACAAUAUCUCUUAUUUAAUUAAUGCAUCUACAUACUUGGUAAAGGGUGGAAGGCUCGGCCUUAUGCCUGGUGUUUUGUUCUACUCUUGCCGCCCUAGUUUCCAUCAUACCGGUGUUAUGUUCCUUGAUUUUGCGUUCCUUACGCUGUUGGGUGAUUUAUGGGACCCCCUUGAUAGUUCACUUUGA